rnacentral:rRNA from 1 species
CGAGACCGAAUAUGAGACAGUACCGUGAGGGAAAGCUGAAAAGUACUCUGAAGAGAGGGUUAAGAGGACGUGAAACCAUUAGAAGCUCUAAACGGGUGGAACCGUAAUCGGUGAAAGAGGGGAUUCAGCCGGCUGGUUGGUAUUGGGCGGCGGAUUGCGGGACAAGUCUGAGACAGGACCCGGCAUUAAGUGAGUUGCCGUGGCUCUGCGUCUGCCGACCCGAGCCCAGUCGGUUUACUUCUCCCUCAAGUAGCGCUCGUCGCGAGCCGCUGGGCGGACUCCGAAGGCCGCACUGGACUGGUAGCCUGCGAGCUUCUGCUGGCGAUGACCGGUUGCGGUUGAGGGGGUCUGCCCGGCGGUUUCUGAGGGAGGCCGCGUGACACAAAGUGGCCUCUCGCGAUGAGUUUCGAUGUUGGUAAUCCACCUGACCCGUCUUGAAACACGGACCAAGGAGUCCAACAAUGGCGCGAGUCUAAGGGUUUUAAAACCUGGAGGCGAAAUGAAAGUGAGUCCCUUGUGGGCAGGCCGAUCCCCUGUCGGCUUAGAGCCCAGCGGCUGAUGAUGAUGAUGGCCCGCCCAGUGGGGCCUUAGUCGUCGUCUAUGCCGUUGGUGCUCUAACUGAUGGCUGGCACUCCUUAACGGGGGGGCCGGAGAUGGGGCGCAGGCCGAGGACUUGUCAUAGUGCGGUGCGGGCAACGGGGUCUCCUGCUCUCAGGGGAGGCUCUUAUCCCGAUUUCCGUCGGCAAGUACCUGAGAGCGCCGACGUUGGGACCCGAAAGAUGGUGAACUAUGCCUGGCGAGGACGAAGCCAGAGGAAACUCUGGUGGAGGUCCGAAGCAGUUCUGACGUGCAAAUCGAUUGUCAGAGCUGGGUAUAGGGGCGAAAGACUAAUCGAACCAUCUAGUAGCUGGUUCCCUCCGAAGUUUCCCUCAGGAUAGCUGGCAUUCGGAAUGAUGAGUUUCAUCCGGUAAAGCGAAUGAUUAGAGGCCUUGGUGGUGCAAUGCCGUCAACCUAUUCUCAAACUUUAAAUGGGUGAGAUGUAGAGCUUGCUUGAUGGUUCAUGUGAAGCUUUAUGAAUUUAGAAUCAGAAUGUC